GACGAACGCUGGCGGCGUGCCUAAUACAUGCAAGUCGAACGCAGUGGGGACGGGUGAGUAACACGUGGGUAACCUCCCAUCAGAGGGGAUAACACUUGGAAACAGGUGCUAAACCGAUACUGAUGGAUGGACCCGCGGUGCAUUCGCUAGUUGGUGAGGGAACGGCUCACCAAGGCCACGAUGCAUAGCUGAUCGGAGAGGAUGAGCGGCAACACUGGGACGGAGACACGGCCCAGACUCCUACGGGAGGCAGCAGUGGGGAAUCUUCGGCAAUGGGCGAAAGUCUGACCGAGCAACGCCGCGGGAAUGAAGAAGGUUUUCGGGUCGUAAAGCUCUGUUGUUAGAGAGGCGGUAUCUAACCAGAAAGCCACGGCUAACUACGUGCCAGCAGCCGCGGUAAUUC
rnacentral:rRNA from 1 species